AACCUUCCUAGCCUUCCAGAAAAAAAGUUUGUCAGAACGAGUUUAAAAUUUAGUUUGUUUUCCACAAAAAGAUGCUCGAUGAGAAGCUUCCCAAACUAAAUAUGCAAAAUAUGUAACAUAGUGAUUUUUAAUCCUAUGAAAUGUGAAGAAAAAUGACAAAGCAUACACAAAAAUUUAAUUGAGUCGAUUUGUAAUAAAACCCACACCCAACCUUCCCAGCCUUCCAGAAAAAAAGUUUGUCAGAACGAGUUUCAAAUUUAGUUUGUUUUCCACAAAAAGAUACUCGAUGAGAAGCUUCCCAAACUAAAUAUGCAAAAUAUGUAGCAUAGUGACUUUUAAUCCUAUGAAUUGUGCAGAAAAAUGAUAAAGCAUACACAAAAAUUUAACUGAGUCGAUUUAUAACACGACGUACACCUAACCUUCCCAGCCUUCCAGAAAAACGAAAAUUGUGAGAACGAGUUUUAAAUAUAGUUUGUUUCCCAGCAAAAAAUACUCGAU
rnacentral:sRNA from 1 species